GAUGAAGAACGUAGCGAAAUGCGAUAAGUAAUGUGAAUUGCAGAAUUCAGUGAAUCAUCGAAUCUUUGAACGCACCUUGCGCUCCUUGGUAUUCCAAGGAGCAUGCCUGUUUGAGUAUCAUUAAAUUAUCAACUGUGCCAAUUUGGUUACAGAUUGGAUGUGGGAGAUUCUUUUUGCAGGCCUUUGACUUCUCUUUGAGAAAAAAAAUAAAAGGUCGGCUCUCCUGAAAUGUAUUAGCAGUGCCUUUGUUGGUUCAUUAGGUGUGAUAAAUUGUCUACAUCUUCGCAUGAUACCUUCAUUUGUAAAGGUCAUAUUGCUUCUAAAUUGUCUUUGAUUGGACGCAAAACAUAUAUAAUGUUUGACAAACUUGAUCUCAAAUCAGGCAGGACUACCCGCUGAACUUAAGCAUAUCAAUCAGCGGAGGA
rnacentral:misc_RNA from 1 species